UACGAAGGGGGCUAGCGUUGCUCGGAAUCACUGGGCGUAAAGGGUGCGUAGGCGGGUCUUUAAGUCAGAUGUGAAAUCCCUGGGCUCAACCCAGGAACUGCAUCUGAAACUGCGAUCCUUGAGUACUGGAGAGGGUGGCGGAAUUCCUGGUGUAGAGGUGAAAUUCGUAGAUAUCAGGAGGAACACCGGUGGCAAAGGCGGCCACCUGGACAGUAACUGACGCUGAGACGCGAAAGCGUGGGGAGCAAACAGG
rnacentral:rRNA from 1 species